CGAUGCAACGCGAAAACCUUACCUACCCUUGACAUGUACGGAAGGCCGAAGAGAUUUGGCUGUGCUCGAAAGAGAACCGUAACACAGGUGGUGCAUGGUUGUCGUCAGCUCGUGUCGUGAGAUGUUGGGUUAAGUCCCGCAACGAGCGCAACCCUUGCCCUAUGUUGCCAGCACGUUAUGGUGGGGACUCGUGGGGACUGCCGGGGUUAACUCGGAGGAAGGUGGGGAUGACGUCAAAUCAUCAUGCCCCUUAUGUCUUGGGCUUCACGCAUGCUACAAUGGCUGGUACAGAGGGUUGCGAUACUGUGAGGUGGAGCGAAUCCCUUAAAGCCAGUCUCAGUUCGGAUUGGGGUCUGCAACUCGACCCCAUGAAGGUGGAGUCGCUAGUAAUCGCAGAUCAGCAACGCUGCGGUGAAUACGUUCUCGGGCCUUGUACACACGUCGACGCGGCCG
rnacentral:rRNA from 1 species